GCCCCUAUUUUCUCGUGGAUCAGGACAUCUUUCUUUCAAGGAGGAAAUGGGGAUUCAAAUUCCCCUUGGGGUA
rfam:Picea glauca, whole genome shotgun sequence.